rnacentral:piRNA from 1 species
ACAGAAAGGGAAGAAUUCCAGGCUAAGGCC